rnacentral:rRNA from 1 species
CCUACGGGAGGCAGCAGUGGGGAAUAUUGCGCAAUGGGGGCAACCCUGACGCAGCAAAGCCGCGUGAUUGAAGAAGGCCUUCUGGUUGUAAAGAUCUUUAAUCGGGGACGAAUUUUGCCGGUACCCUACGAAUCAGCUCCGGCUGACUACGUGCCAGCAGCCUCGGUCAGUCGUAGGGAGCAAGCGUUAUCCGGAAUUACUGGGUGUAAAGGGCGUGUAGGCGGGCAUGCAAGCCAGAAGUGAAAUCUGGCGGCCUAACCCCCAAACUGCUUUUGAAACUGCGGGUCUUGAGUGAUGGAGAGGCAGGCGGAAUUCCCAGUGUAGCGGUGAAAUGCGUAGAUAUUGGGAGGAACACCAGUGGCGAAGGCGGCAUGCUGGACAUUAACUGACGCUGAGGCGCGAAAGCGUGGGGAGCAAACAGGAUUAGAUACCCUUGUAGUC